UAGUUGGAUUGAUCGCCAGAAACCCAACCAGGCAGGCAGACUGUUGUUACCAUGCAACGAGCAGACGCUUGUGAAAAGUACUAGCUACAAAAUUGUCUCAAUUGCUUGCUGCUAGUUAGCAAGCCAUCAAUAAAGUUCCUAACGUUACAACUUGGUAGACGGCUGGAGCACCGACUUCGGAGAGGCUGCCUAUCGUUCCCGAGAUGCUGUCAAAAACCUUACAAUUAAGAUCCAUAUUCAGAGAUUCACCUCCACAGCAGCCCUCUCCCAACACCUUCAGCAGCAGGUUUUGACUCAACAGGAGAGGAGAGGCAUUGAGCUGGACACCCUCAACUCACCGGCUCAAUCAGCCGGAGAUGAUGAGGAGGAGUUGGUGGUAGGCUGGCAGGAGAAGCUGUUCAGUCAGUGGUUUUGUUCCAGAGUGAGUCAGUAUACCAGACUCCACUGGAGAGACAGUACCACACAGAGAUCAUGGCUCUGAAGCGGACCAGGGGCAGACCGGAACCGCAGGAUUUUCACCUACACCGAUUCUGACUGCUACACCAAUUGGGAAGGGCUUUCCCAGAGUAUGGUGAGGCAGGUCAAGUCCAACCCUACCUUCCUGGCACAUAGGAUGGCCAAUGUCAGACACAGACGACAGGACAGACAGCCAGUUGACAGCACCUUCCCCAAGUCCAGGCUGAUUACCUGGGAGCCCUCGGAGGACUUUGUGAAGACCAGCCACGUGGUCAACACACCUGUACAGACCAUGCGCAUCAUGGAUGACCUGGAACCACCGGGCAAACUUGGCCAAAAGGAGAAGGAAUGCUUGUUGUGCACGAUAAGAGCAGAUGGAAAUGGAGUGGUUACCAUCAAACCAGACUUCAACAAAGG